CAUAACAUGAAAUUUACUCUCUCAACAAUCUUUAAGUGUAUGGUUCAAAAGUAUUAAGCAUAGUCACAUUAUUUUUUCUCAUAGUUACAUUACUGUGCAACCACCCUCCAAAGCUUUUUCAUCUUGCAAAACUGAAAUACUGAAAUACUUCACCCAUUAAGUAGCAACUCUCCUUUUUCCCUCCCUUCCCUACUGAUAUACACUGUUCACUUCACUUCUUCAUCUUUUGCUUGUGUGUUUUUUAGACAGUCUCGAUACGUAGUCCAAGCUGGCCUUGAAGUCCACUAAUGAUCCUCCUACUCAGCUUCUCAAGUGCUAAGAUUACAAAUGUGCAUCCAUACCAGGUAUCUCCAUGUGGAUCUGAACACCAAUCCUAAGCUGUCAGCUAGCAGAGAGCAAGUUUUUAGCAGAAUCCCCAGCAAAGCACUGCACUGUUCCCGCACGCAUGGCAGUCACUGCCACUGUACCCAUGCAGGCACUGCUGUGUUUGCAAAGCCAAGGAAGUGCUAGCAUUUCAUUGAGGAUCCAACUUCCGUGGGGUGGCAAAGCUACUUUUAAAGGUCACUUAGUAGCAUAUUGGGAAGCACAGCUACUGAAGCACAGCGCACUUAAACAGUGGUGUAAUUUGUCUGUCUGUCUGCUCCCGUGACAGCAGGAGGCCUGUGAAUUACCCAGGAGGAAGACUGCAGGUAA